rnacentral:lncRNA from 1 species
GCACUUGCUCGAUAUACUACUCUAUCACCACUUGCUUUCCCUUUCUACGUCUCGCUUCUUCUGCUAAUCACAACAAUUAUCAAUCAAUAUAUGUUCUCAUACUACUUUUAUUAUCACACCUUCGAAACGAGUUUCUAUCUACCCUUCGUUUCACCCAAAUCCGAUUUACGGAUUAAAAGAUAUGUCAAAAACAAUCAUAUAAGGUUCACAUCGACACGUAACACAUCAAUCGGAUAUCACGUAAAGUAGUUUUCUGGCAUUUGAUAUGGAUCUUGAAACAUUUUUCGAAAUUAAAACGGGUCAAAGAAUCAUUUUAUAAAUAAAUAAUCAAUUUUGGAUACUCGAAAUCAAGUCCGAAAUCAUUUGAAAUUAAUUAACGAGCUUCAAACAUAUUUUAGAAUAAUCUUUCAAAGCUCGAAACUAUUUUUCGGAAUUUUAAAAUAAUUUAAAAUAAUUUAAAAUAAUUAAAUCUAAUUAAUAAAUCAAUUAAAAUUAAUUAAUAAAUAAUUAAAACAAUUAAUCAAUUAAUAUUUAAAUUAAUUGACUAAUUAUAAUAAUUAAUUAUUAAUUAAAAUUAAUUAACUAAUUAAAUUAGAUUUAUUUUUGAAUUAAUAAGUAAUUAAAACUAAUUUUUGAAAUUAAAAUAAUUAAUUUUCGAAAUUAAAAUUAAAUAAAUAAAACUUUUAAAAGAUUUUAAAAGUUCAGGGUUUAAAAACGCAAGAAACAAAACUGCAGUACAACCAGUGCAUCGUUUUCACAACUCCAGGUACUAAACUGCAAUUUGGCCGUCGGCCGACUUCCACCUCGCCGGAGACGGCGUUACAGCCCUCCAUCGGCCACCAGAAUGUGCAGAUACACCCUACACAUCACCACGAACCUACCCCUGCAAGCAAUUUCACCAAACACGGCCAGAAUCAACCGUAAAACUCUGGAGAAACCUCUAUAGGGGUCAUACGGUUAACCUGAUGGCGCGUACAGACUCCUCUCUUCAUGCUCAAUCCAACCAUAUCAACCAAUUUAACACUAGAUUCACGGAUAAGAAACGCCUAAUUCUAAUUGAAAACAUUCAUACGAAUUAUAAACCCUAGUUUUUGAAUUCGAAAAUGAAACUCAAAAUUAACCAUGUUACCGACCUCCAAAUCAUGCAUAUGAUAUACCAAAAUGAUCACAAUUCAAUUCUCUACAACAUACAAUCAGGAAAUCAUAUAAACAACUUAAAAAUCAAAAAGCCCUAAUUUAAGCUUAAUUAAUCCGGAUUUAAAAUCCAGAAUCCGAACCUACCUGAUGUUUCUGCACUAAAAGUGAUGCUGGAUUAUGAUUCUACGCCUUGAGACCUUCGAUUCGAGUACUUGAACGUCAAAAUCCGAGUCCGAUAACGCCUUCAAAUCUUCGUUUGAAUCCAAGAACACGAAGAACACUCUCUGGAUAAACCCGUAUUUAACU